AUUCAUAGAUCAGAAAAAUAAUUUCCCAGCACGUCUAAAAACAAGCAAAAAUAGAAAAGAUAAACAAAACAGUUCCAAAGGUAGAUAUAUUCCCAAAUGUGUCACUACUUAAAAAGUUCUUAAGCUUUGCAAGCUCCUGUCUCACCACACCAGCCCUCUACAAUGUCCAACACAAACGAAUCAGAUCGAUACAUAACCAUCACAACGGUAAAAAGAUUAUGCAAUCACACCUUGAUCUUUGCCAACAUGAGCUUAAACCUGUCAAAAUCGUUGAGUGAGACCAUCCUCUUCUGCAUGAUCAACUUCCUUUCUCAGGAACUGGACUCUCCUACUUGGUCUUCACAUCUGUGAGGACAUAAAGCAAAUGAGAGUUAGUCAAGUUCUUACGUAACCCUGUCGUUAGCCAAAUGACUCAAAUUUACAAUUUUUUGGCUGAUGAAAACCAUUUUUCCUAAUCAAAAAUUCAAAUUUGAAUACUGCAAUUCAGCCAACAUACACAUAUCUUGAUCUAGCUCGACCACUGUUUCC
rnacentral:lncRNA from 1 species